rnacentral:rRNA from 3 species
GAUAAGUAAUGUGAAUUGCAGAAUUCAGUGAAUCAUCGAAUCUUUGAACGCACCUUGCGCCCUUUGGUAUUCCGAAGGCACACCUGUUUGAGUGUCGUGA